rnacentral:lncRNA from 10 species
UUUAAAAACACAUUUGCAUUAUAUAGAGAGAACCAACAGUGUGAAUUAUCUCUGACUUAUCAAAAGAAAUCAUACAAGCCAGAAAACAAUGGAAUAAUAUUUUUAAGUGCAUAAAGAAAAAUCAAAAACAAAAACUAUCAACUCAUAAUUCAAGAGCAUUUGAAACAGUCACCGAAAUACACCAUGUGCUAAGCCAUCAAAUAGCUCUCAAUAAAUUUCAAGAGACUGAAAUAAUAAGUGUUCAUUCUCCAGUAACACUGGAAUUAAACUCGAAACUUACAAAAAUGUACAUCAUAAAAAUCACAAGUGAUGCCCUGGCUCCCACUCUUGUUCCCUCGACAGUCCUUUCUCUGGGCAGCAAGCCAGAGUGGUCCUCCUAAGACAUAAGUCAGACCACGUUUCUUUUAAGCUAAAGCCAUCCAACCGUUCCUCUAACUCAUUCUAAGUUGGAUCUGCCCCUGGCUACCUCUCUGCUUCAUCUACUACUUUCCCACUUGUGCCCUCCACUAUAGACUUUCGUGCUGCUCUAGGAACAUAUAAUAAGUAUGUUCCCA